CAUAGGCUGCCCAGACGCUAGAGGACGGGGAGGGUCCCCGGGAUCAGAAAGGCUGCCGGACGGAGCCCAGCCCCCGGCCCCGCGUCGCCCCGCGUCAGGGAAAGGAAACGAAGGAGUCUGAGGGGACCCACCUGGCUGAGGCCACGCUCCAGCGGAAAAAACCCGGUCAGCUCCGAGCUUUGCGCGGGGGCCGGCGGGACUCGACGGCGCCCCACGCCCACCCCUGCCGUAAAGCGGCGCCUGCGUGACCCCGCGUAGACGACCCCCGCCCCCUGUCGUCCGCGUCUCCUCGGAGAAGCCCGGGAGGGUCCCUGCCGCCAACGAUGUGUGCGAAGGAACAGUAAAAGGGAAAUUUUACCGUUCAACAGUCGCAAAACUAUUUAGAGGAAAGAAGUUUAAGUACACUUGCAAACGAUGUGACGAGUUU